GGGUACGACCAUACUUGGCCGAAUGCACCACAUCCCGUC
rnacentral:rRNA from 1 species